rnacentral:rRNA from 1 species
UACAGAGGUCCCGAGCGUUGGUUCGGAUUCACUUGGGCGUAAAGGGUGCGUAGGUGGUGAGGUAAGUCGGGAUGUGAAAUCUCCGGGCUCAAACCCGGGAAAUGGUCAUUGGAAACUACCUUUGCUGGAGGAUUUGAGGGGGGAUUGGGAAUACUUGGUGUAGCAGUGAAAUGCGUAGAUAUCAAGUGGAACACCAGUGGCGAAGGCGAAUCCCUGGAAAAUACCUGGAACACUGAGGCACGAA